rnacentral:lncRNA from 1 species
UCUAAUUGGACUGCAGUUAAUUAGUUUAUUGUUGCUCAGCACCCAAUGCCCUUACCCAUGUGCAAAGUAGGUUUGGCUGCAAUUUCCUGGAAAGAAGUGGGUGCCAUUAGGCCUAAUCGACACUAUCGAGCCAGUCACAAUUUGAUUUCUCCUCACUUUCAUUCCAAUCAUUUUACAAUAUGUUCACAUAUAUACUCACUGGUAAGUCCGAAAUUGGUCUCCAGAUUAUAUGUAGUCACUGGUUCGCUGUAGAAAACAGUAUUAAAUUUUUCAUCUGAAGAGUUAGCAAUUUAUGGAUAUUCUUCUCAAUGAGAUUAUUUAUUUACACUAUGGGGGACUCAACCAUUACACAGUGUAAACAGGUUCAUUACCAACAAUGCAGAAAUAUUUGACCAGAGCUAGAUUGAACCAUGAGUGGUUUUAUAGUGUGAAUCAAACUUUAAUCCUAAUCAUCUAAUUCAAUUGUUAACUUUUGACCAUCAAAAAUUCAGAAAUCUGGUCUCUAAACCAAUCUGAAUUGUUUUACUGUGUUCUUCAUCUCCUCAUUAGGGUUUACUUUGUUUAUUCAGCUAUCUUAAUCAGAUAAUUUAUAAUUUGGAAAAGUUUGGCCUCUUGCU